rnacentral:rRNA from 1 species
GACGAACGCUGGCGGCGCGCUUAACACAUGCAAGUCGAACGGAAAGGCCUGCUUUCCCUUGUGGAUUGCGGGUACUCGAGUGGCGAACGGGUGAGUAACACGUGAGUGAUCUGCCCCCAACUUGGGUAUAAGCCUGGGAAACUGGGUCUAAUUCCCGAUAGGACUGCAGGGUGGUGCCUGUGGUGGAAAACGAUUUUCUAGUGGUUGGGGAUGAGCUCGCGGCCUAUCAGCUUGUUGGUGGGGUAAUGGCCUACCAAGGCGGCGACGGGUAGCCGGCCUGAGAGGGUGGACGGCCACAGUGGGACUGAGAUACGGCCCAGACUCCUACGGGAGGCAGCAGUGGGGAAUAUUGCACAAUGGGCGGAAGCCUGAUGCAGCGACGCCGCGUGGGGGAUGACGGCCUUCGGGUGGUAAACUCCUUUCGACCGCGAGGAAGCCACCUGGUUGGAAGGGUGGUGACGGUAGUGGUAGAAGAAGCACCGGCUAACUACGUG